ACCAGAACAUCUUCGCCACACUUGCUUGCUGACUCUCUGUCGCUUGUACAUCACCAGCGCCAUGGCACACACUGACUUAUCCGAUGCUCGCUUCUCAUAUGGCAGAAAAUUCCGAUGCAGAGGCAAACCACUUAAACGAUCCCAGGAGGAGGAUGAGCUUUAGCAGACCUUGAGGUUUGUGCUGUGAGGCUGGAGAUUUGAUUAUCACCACAAUCAAAUUCGGAACAAAACAGUCACCGGAAAUAUCAUUGCAGGAGUAGUUUGGGAUGGCUGCCUCAUUAUCAUUGUCCUGAGCAUCUGAGGGGGCUGGAAAUCUUUAAUUCUAUCCAAACUCUCAGUUAACAGAUGCCAGGUACCCACAGAAAUUGCCAGGUACCUCCGUGAGCCAUGAAGUUAGAAAACCACUGAAUUAACAUGUAGGAGAGGAAUAAAUGUAACCUGACCUUUAAUGUACUAUUUUACCUUGUCGUAGAGUUUAAUAGUAUGAUUAUGUGUUCAGUUUAAAAUCUCUUUACAUUGUAUCAAAAGGCUCACAGCAUUUAAAAACGAUUAAACACUCUGGAAACAGAAAUAGAAACAUAAUAUAAAAAUGUUCAAAGUUUA